rnacentral:rRNA from 1 species
UACGUAGGGUGCGAGCGUUGUCCGGAAUUAUUGGGCGUAAAGGGCUCGUAGGCGGUUUGUCGCGUCGGGAGUGAAAACACCGGGCUUAACUCGGUGCUUGCUUUCGAUACGGGCAGACUGGAGUUCGGCAGGGGAGACUGGGAAUUCCUGGUGUAGCGGUGGAAUGCGCAGAUAUCAGGAAGAACACCCGUGGCUAAGGCGGCUCUCUAGUACGGUACUGACGCUGAGACGCGAAAGCGUGGGGAGCGAACAGG